UACUUAAUAGCUAGCUUACAUAACCAACCUCAACAAACAAUAUUAAUACCUUAAA
rnacentral:rRNA from 1 species